rnacentral:snoRNA from 2 species
CCCCUCCCAGGGCUGCACCUGGAGAGUUUCCAGUCCUCUACCAGUCUUGGCUAUGGGAGGGAGAGUCAAGCAGAGGCCUGUCCAUUCCAUUUCUAGCAUGGCCAGUGGCUAGUGAGUGGCAGGCAAUCUGUUACAAAU